GUGAUGGAAACGCUCACUUUGGUAUCACAUAUAUUAAAAUUGGAAUGAUACAGAGAUUAGCAUGGCCCUUGCGCAAGGAUGACAUGACAAUUCAUGAAGUGUUCCAUAUUAUU
ensembl:snRNA U6 U6 spliceosomal RNA